GACGUAGGGCGCGAGCGUUGUCCGGAUUUAUUGGGCGUAAAGGGCGCGUAGGCGGUUUCUUAAGUUUGGAGUGACAGUGGGUGGCUUAACUACCCAAGGCCUUUGAAAACUGGGGAACUUGAGGACCAGAGAGGGACAUAGAAUUCCGGGUGGAGUGGUGAAAUGCGUAGAUAUCCGGAGGAAUACCAAAGGCGAAGGCAGUGUCCUGGAGGGUGACUGACGCUGAGGCGCGAAAGCUAGGGAAGCGAACGGG
rnacentral:rRNA from 1 species